rnacentral:rRNA from 1 species
GAUGAACGCUGGCGGCGUGCCUAAUACAUGCGAGUCGAGCGAACAGACGAGGAGCUUGCUCCUCUGACGUUAGCGGCGGACGGGUGAGUAACACGUGGAUAACCUACCUAUAAGACUGGGAUAACUUCGGGAAACCGGAUCUAAUACCAGAUAAUAUGUUCAACCGCAUGGUUCAAUAGUGAAAGACGGUUUUGCUGUCACUUAUAGACGGAUCCGCGGCGCAUUUGCUUGGUGGUAAGGUAACGGCUUACCAAGGCGACGGUGCGUAGCCGAUCUGAGAGGGUGGUCCGGCACCCUGGGACUUGGGACACGGUCCAGCCCCCACCGGGAGGAAGCGGUGGGAAAUCUGGCGAAAGGGGCGAAAGCCUAACGGAGCAACGCCGCGGGGGUGAUGAAGGUCUCCGGUUCGUAAAACUUUGUUAUGGGAGAAAAAAAAAUGUGUAAGUAACUAUGCACGUCUGGACGGUACCUAAGCAGAAAGCCACGGCUAACUCCUU